rnacentral:rRNA from 1 species
CGGCGCCACGAGUGGCAAUCACGAUUAUUGGGUCUAAAGCGUUCGUAGCCGGUUUAAUAAAUCUUUUGUGAAAUUGUCGGGCUCAACUCGACAGCGUGCAGAAGACACUGUUAAACUAGGGACCGGGAGGGGUUAGAAGUAUUUCAAGGGGAGCGGUAAAAUGUUGUAAUCCUUGAAAGACUACCAAUGGCGAAGGCAUCUAACCAGAACGGAUUUGACGGUGAGGAACGAAGGCCAGGGGAGCGAACCGGAUUAGAUACCCGCGUAGUCC